rnacentral:lncRNA from 1 species
UGAGGUCUGUGCGACCGGACCGGACAUGAGCGUCCGGGAGCCGGACGAGGGGACCCCUCAAAUGCACCGGGUACGCAGUGUUUUGAUUUCUUUCCUCCUGACUUUUCAGCAUCUUCUGUUUGGAUAGUCUCCUCACCUCGAGAUUAAGACUGUGGGCAUGCUUCUGCCUUCACAUGGCUCCCAUGCUGUCCUGAAUUAGUAUCUGCCGGUUCGUGGCCCUGACUUGUACCUUUUCUAAGCUUAACAGUGAAACUUUGUAUCGCACUGCCUUUACACUGUGUGGACGCUGUUUUCAGUGUUACCCAUUUACUGCCACCUAGAUGUCUUGCUUUAUCUGGGGGCUCUUCUAUUUACCUGUUCAGCACGUGGCAAUGUGGGCAAAAAGUUUUCAGACAGUUGCUGGGCCUAAAGGUCAUUGCAGGAGUGGGCCACCUUCUGUGUCAUUUUGUGACUUUUUCUAGGCUUCAUUGUGUUUGCCAGUACUCCUCACCCUCACUCUCCCACCUUUCUCCUGUUAUUUUAAAGAAAAGUAGUUCAAAAACACCUGUAAGAUCAGGAGUUGUAGUUCAUUUAUACUCAGCAUUUCCUGAGAGGAUGCUCUGUAAAAGAGGUCACAGAACUCUGCCUUGUCUCCUCUCUUACCCACUCCUCAGCCUGGUUAGCUAGCAAGUCCUAAAAAGCUUAUAUGGAGACAGAAUACAGAGACAGAAUUAGAUGGAAACAGGUGAGCUUUUCCUAAUAAUGUAUGGAAGAACUAAAGAGAUUGUGAUGGGUACCUUAAGCAGGAAAAGUGAGCUGAAAAUGAAAAGGCUUAGAGUCAAAGUAAGUCAGAUAAAAAUUGGGCUGAGGAUGAAGACAGGAUGAGAGCUUUCAUAUUUUGGCCAGUCAUUGGUGAUGGGAAGAGAAUUUCUCAGGAAAAAUACUUUCUCUGAGUGUUGAAUGUUGCCUAGACAACGCUUCUUUAAAGAAGCAGUUCACGUUUGGGUUAUUUUUCUCUCUUUAUAUGUGAUCUAAUGUAAGUGAAAGGGUAAUACUGUGUUCAUAUUUUACCAACAUUUAGUAAAAUGCUACUUGUUUCUACUUACUGGAGAAAUUUAAACACUUUCAUUUGCAUUCAUUUGAAACCACUUGGAAGAGCAAUAGACUUAAGUGAAUAUUCAUAACAGUUUUCAAUAUUAAUCCAAAUUCUUAGAAACAGCUUGGAUAAUUUGGUCUUUAUCAAAUGUGUCAAGUUAUUGACUUAUGGAAAAGUAAAUAUGUGACUUGAUUGACUUGAUAGUCUCUUCUUAAACUGCACAUAGUUAUAAAAGUUCUUUGUCAGAUUAGCACUGUACUCGGAGUGUAUUUGUUGCUGUUUGUAUGCAUGAUGGUAAAUAAAAGCAUGGUACCCAG